AAAAAGGCCCUUUUUAGGGCCACAAAUUAAAAAUACAAGGGCCUUU
rfam:Stegodyphus mimosarum contig87664, whole genome shotgun sequence.